UACAGCCAUAUUGGGUUGAAUCAUCAGCCUCCAUAUGAUCACCGAAGUUAAACAACAUUGAGCCCGCUCAGUAUCUAGAUGGGUGACCACUUGUGAAUACAAGGUGCUGUAA